AACGAACGCUGGCGGCAUGCCUAACACAUGCAAGUCGAACGAGACCUUCGGGUCUAGUGGCGCACGGGUGCGUAACGCGUGGGAACCUGCCCUUAGGCUCGGAAUAACUCCCCGACAGGGGUGCUAAUACCGGAUAAUGUCUUCGGACCAAAGAUUUAUCGCCUUUGGAUGGGCCCGCGUUGGAUUAGCUAGUUGGUAGGGUAAAAGCCUACCACGGCGACGAUCCAUAGCUGGUCUGAGAGGAUGAUCAGCCACACUGAGACUGAGACACGGCCCAGACUCCUACGGGAGGCAGCAGUGGGGAAUAUUGGACAAUGGGCGAAAGCCUGAUCCAGCAAUGCCGCGUGAGUGAUGAAGGCCUUAGGGUUGUAAAGCUCUUUUACCCGGGAUGAUAAUGACAGUACCGGGAGAAUAAGCUCCGGCUAACUCCGUG
rnacentral:rRNA from 1 species